AUUGAUAUUCAAAAAGAAAAAAACCAUCUUGAAACUUAUCUAAUGAAGAAUCCAGAAUAAUUUUGAAACUAAAACUGAGAACGGAUAACAUGCAUGGUCUGCAUUAGAUUUCUGAUGAAAAUAGACCAUACCUGAAAUUAGGAAGAAUACCAAUGAAAUGAAGGAAAGAAGAAAGUCCGAUGAUCGGGAAUCAAUAGGUAAGAAUCCAGAGAAAGAUUGAGAAAGAACUUACUAGAAAC
rnacentral:lncRNA from 1 species